GGCCAGCAGCCGCGGUAAGACGAAGGAUGCAAGCGUUAUCCGGAUUCAUUGGGUUUAAAGGGUGCGUAGGCGGACUGAUAAGUCAGUGGUGAAAUCUCUCAGCUUAACUGAGAAACUGCCAUUGAUACUGUUAGUCUAGAGUAUAGAUGACGUUGGCGGAAUAUGACAUGUAGUGGUGAAAUACUUAGAUAUGUCAUAGAACACCGAUUGCGAAGGCAGCUAACGAAACUAUAACUGACGCUGAGGCACGAAAGUGCGGGGAUCAAACAGGAUUAGAUACCCUGGUAGUCCGCACCGUAAACGAUGAUUACUCGUUGUUGGCGAUAUGACAGUCAGCGACCAAGCGAAAGCGAUAAGUAAUCCACCUGGGGAGUACGCCGGCAACGGUGAAACUCAAAGGAAUUGACGGGGGCCCGCACAAGC
rnacentral:rRNA from 1 species